UUUCAUAACAUUAGCCACAGGUUCAGCUGUUUCAAUGACCCUGUUACAAAGAAGCUCAUAAGGUUGAUUCUUCAGUGCUGAAGAGAUCUACCUGGAAGAAUCUUUCUGACCAGGUGGAAGGCUCCAAUUUGAAGCAAGAGAAAGGAAAAGAUGGGAGAAUCCCAUUGGCUAAGUAAGGACAGCAAGGAGAGGACCAUUCUGGCUUCCCUAGGAAGAGAAUUCCAGAAUUUAGGAGGCAGCCACUGCGAAGACCUUAUCACACAUCCUGACCAACUAAGACUGUUUCAUGGUUAGGAUUCUCAAGGUACAAAUGCUGCAAACAAAUAAAAGAAUAUCAUUGAGGCAAGACAUCUAUAACCACAUUACCUGAUUAAGCAUCCACAGCUGGCAGAAAGAUAUUUGCAGAGUGUAACAGAGUGGACAGUCAAGAAAGUGAAGACUGAAUUGAGCCUAUCAAACUUUGGAUUGAAAUUGGAUCCUUCACACAUCUCUAAAUAUGACCACAAUAGGAAAACCCGCACAAAUGUGGAGUAAUGGCUGUUGUGUUCAGAUAAGAAUCUCAAAUAUGUAUCUUCAGUGUCUUGAUUCCUGUUUUUCUCCACGUCCUAUUAAAGUAGUAAACACAAACUGAACAUGGGUUCUAAUAUUGUCUCAUAAUUUGUACUGUACCAAUGAAAUCACCAUCAUAGAUUUCACCACCUCAA